rnacentral:rRNA from 1 species
AGAGCGAACGCUGGCGGCAGGCCUAACACAUGCAAGUCGAGCGCCCGUAGCAAUACGGGAGCGGCAGACGGGAUAGUAACACGUGGGAACGCGCCCUUCGGUUCGGAAUAACUCAGGGAAACUUGAGCUAAUACCGAAUACGCCCUUACGGGGAAAGAUUUAUUGCCGAAGGAACGGCCCGCGUCCGAUUAGCUAGUUGGUGAGGUAAUGGCUCACCAAGGCUACGAUCGGUAGCUGGUCUGAGAGGAUGACCAGCAUCACUGGGACUGAGACACGGCCCAGACUCCUACGGGAGGCAGCAGUGGGGAAUAUUGGACAAUGGGCGCAAGCCUGAUCCAGCCAUGCCGCGUGGAUGAUGAAGGCCUUAGGGUUGUAAAGUCCUUUUAACGGGAAGAUAAUGACGGUACCCGUAGAAUAAGCCCGGCUAACUUCGUGCCAGCAGCCG